CGCCUAACACUGUUAUUUUAGGUAGAAUCUGCCCAAUGAAGUUUCAAUGGCCGCAGUAUCUUGACUGUGCUAAGGUAGCAUAAUCAUUUGUCUUUUAAUUAAAGGCCCGCAUGAAGGAUCUGACACAGAACUACCUGUCUCAAUUAUAACAUUUAAUUUACCUUUAAAGUUAAAAUUCUUUACACCCUAAGGGGACGACAAGACCCUAUAAAGCUUUAUUUUAAUAUAUUAACUCACAAGAACCUAACACAAAAAUUAUACUGGGGCGGUAAAAUUUAAACAACUACCAUUUUUACCCUAACAAUUUUUAUGAAAUUAAUAACCUCAUUUUAAAAAUAAUAACAAGUUACUUUAGGGAUAACAGCACUAUAUUUUCUCAGAGCUCCUAUCGCCGAAAAUGUUUGUGACCUCGAUGUUGAAUUGAGGCCCCUUUAUAGAGCAGCUUUUAUACCAGGAAGUCUGUUCGACUUAUAACCCCUC
rnacentral:rRNA from 1 species